AGUGCAAUUGCUGGAUUGUAUGGUAAGAGAAUGCCUAGUUUGCAAGAAACUGCCAAACUGUUUUCCAAAGUGGCUGUACCCAUUUUGCAACGCUAGCAGCAAU
rnacentral:pre_miRNA from 1 species